CGCAUCUGUGCAUGCAGCAUAUCAAUAAGCGGAGGAAAAGAAACUAACAAGGAUUCCCCUAGUAACGGCGAGUGAAGCGGGAAGAGCUCAAAUUUGAAAUCUUCAAGGGUUUACCUUUACGAAUUGUAGUUUAAAGAAGUGUUUUCUGCUGAGGUUUUGGUAGAAGUUCUUUGGAAUAGGACAUCAUAGAGGGUGAGAAUCCCGUAUUUGACCAUUUACUUUUCAACUUUGUGAUACACUUUCAAAGAGUCGGAUUGUUUGGGAAUGCAGUCCAAAAUGGGUGGUAAAUUUCAUCUAAAGCUAAAUAUUGGCGAGAGACCGAUAGCGAACAAGUACCGUGAGGGAAAGAUGAAAAGAACUUUGAAAAGAGAGUUAAACAGUACGUGAAAUUGUCAAAAGGGAAGCGUUUGACACCAGUGUUGUUUUUCUGAAAAUCAAUUAAAGAACUGUUUAUGCUAAGCUGUUUAGUACUUUAUCAGCUUAUCUGUUUAGUUUUGAGCUUUUCUUUAAUGCACUUUUCAGUUAACAAGUCAACAUCAAUUUCUUCUGCUGUAAAAAAGCUUGAGGAAGGUGGCUUGAGAUUCGUCUUAAGUGUUUAUAGCCUCUUGCCUAUGCAGUCGGAGAGAUUGAGGUCUGCAGCGUAGAUCCUUCGGGGCUAAAUGCAUUUGUGCUAAGUUAUAGCAUUUUAUAGACAACUUGUUGACUAUGAUUUGUCUUGUAGCUUACUCGCUUAUGUUAUUUUACCUACGCUUAGGAUGUUGAUAGUCACAGCGUGUAC
rnacentral:rRNA from 1 species